rnacentral:lncRNA from 1 species
AAUUAAAUGGAUGAUGGAAGGAAUGAGUUGGUUGAGGAACUCCAACUACAAUUGGCGAUGAUGCAACUUAAGUUGCGUGUUUUAGAAGCCAAAAGAAAUUAUGGGCAACCGUCUCUCCAAGGAGUGUUCCAACCAACUCCUUCAUAUGGUGACUUUUAUGACAUGGGGUGCAAUGCCAUGGAGUGGCAAUCACCAUUGGAGUAUGAGGACCAUUUCAAUAGUUGGAAUUAUGAAAAUUCUUAUUCCACUCAAGAA